UCCAUCCAAAUGGUUGAUCACCCACAAAUAUAUAAGAGAAGACUCCAGAUCCAAUCCCAGAAUUCCUGCUCACCUGUAAUCGGAAGUCUACUGGACGAAAUCGGCAACGUUGCGAUAUUUCCUGCUUAAUAUUUUCAGGCACAAUGAAUGAUAUUAAGGGCAGGUAAGAUGCAAAGCAAAAAUACAUUCAAGAGGCAGCAGCACUGAGGGCACAUGGGCAGGCGCAGGACCUAAACCCUGAGAUGGAGGCAAUUUGUGCUGUGUCUGCCGCGUCCAUUUUAAUGAUAAGAAGAAGAAUGCAAGAAAGAAGUGGCAUUCAUGGUCUCAGUGCACAGUGUGCCAAUCAUGGUCACACACAGCAUGUGGCUUUAAAAAGAACAUGUGCCUUCACUGUCAGGGUCAAGACACCAUGCAAACACCCUGAAGAUGUAUCUUGUUACUUGUUUGAGUUGUUUUUACUGUGUUGACGGCCCCCAACCCAUCCAUACAAACACACACACACACAAUACAUACAUAUGCUGCAAAUUCAUUGUAAUGACCAUACUUCACACGUAAGAAGAAAAUUGUGAUCUUUUUGUUAUUUUCAUUCACCCCAUUUUUAUUUGUUAUUGUUGUUUGUUGUCACCAUCAAUGUGUUCUCCUUUAUACAGGACUUAUGUGGGGACCAAUAAAGUUAUAUUGUACUGAA